UUGAAAGCCUUGACGAAUUUGUCAGACUUGAAACACUUGCAACGUUUCAGGAUAUGUGAAUGCCCAUCUCUGGAAGGAUCGCCCGACGUGUCGAAUUUUAGGCGUACGCAGAUGAGAGAACUUGGCUUGAAAGAGAUCCAGCUCCAUCCGAGUGGCUUCGAAUUCAAGCGUUAGCAGACCUCAAGAGCUACGGGGGGCAGAAGAGAACCGGGGCUCGACGUCCCUGGAUUCUCUCUUUCUCGCUGGUUUCCCAGGCCCGAAGAUCAAAGCCACCGUUCGCACCGCCCAUCCACCGCAGGCAAGCGGGCAGGUCGGUCGGCGUGGCGGAGAUGACGACAGCGACGGCGAUGAGGCGGCGCCACGGCUGGCAAUGCCCUCUCCAUCCGCUCCAGAUUUUAGUUUGCUCAGUAGUAGGUAGUGCGGUAGUUUCGGCAGCAAUCGGGUAGGCGGUUGGAGCUGGAAGUCGCGCUGGCUGCCAAGGUUCUGUCGAGAUUUGGUGAGAUUCGUCGAGUUGCUGGAAUUGAUGAAGGUCACGAGCUUAGGUUCGCUGUUUUGAGCUGAGGCUAGCACGUACUGCUUAGUCAAAUUCCUGCAUUGGCGACGUUGUGAAAGCUCUAAAUUGGCUACGAUUGGAUGAUCGAUCAAUUGCAUUUGAUUAUAAAUGAGAAUGAGGUGUUGCCCUCAUCCUGAAUGAGAUUGGAUGGAAGAUUUAAUCGGUGGUUGUGGCAAGGCUGAAUAUACUUUCUAUUCAGACUUGGGAGAAUCCAUAGUAAGAAUAACCUUUUAUUGGUGGAGUUGGAAGUGAGAUCUACCUUCAUGAGAGCUUGGAUUGGGGUAAAGGAAAGGUCUGCUGUGUGUCCAUAGACAGCAAUGCAGCACAAUACCAACACCUUUGUACUGCAGCCAUCUUUUCUGGUUGGGGACAGAAUUCUUUUUUACAUGGUAGCACAUACCUCUUUACCUUUUUCGAAUUUUUUCAUCCUCCUGUCUUCUUCUUUUCAUUGCCAUUAUCUGGUUUUGCGUUUGUUUUAUUCUCUUCUUUACUCAUGCCCCAGAUGCUUCUCUAGUUGACUUUCUCUAGUUGACUUUCUCUAAUAGGCAUGAGAGUUUCUUGAGUGAUAUGCUUCUGCUAUUGCUUUUA